GUGCAACCAAUUUUUUUGCUCUCCAAACUCUCUUAUCCUUGAAACGACUCAACCUUGGCCGAAUUUUGGUGUCAUUUUCUUUUCUUUUUAUGCUUGGUUUUUUUGAGUGGAACUUGUCACCAACAAGCUUAGAGAUCCAUACCGAGCUGUAGUUCGCGGGACUUGGUGAACCCAACUCUGUAGCUCGAGGCCAGGGUUGACUCUGACCAGGUUUUUAGCUGAGGCCUUGCACCCAGUGGGGCCCAGUCCCAUUGGAUGCGGCCGAUCUGUCCGCGGGCCCGGCUGUGGGGCUGGGACGUGACA